GCUCUCUGCUGCCCCAGGAAUGGGCUGAUUUCCUGAGUACACAUUAAUCUGAGCUCCCUCAGCCCUAGGGGUAGGGGGAUUGGGGGCACAAGAUGGGUGGAGCCAGAUAGGGAAGAUUCCCCCAGUGUUGUCCUGCUCCCAGUCCAGGUUUGGGACAAUGCCGGCAGCGUUUCCCUGUGUCUUUCCCCCACAAAGUCUCCAAGUCUUUCCUCAAAUGAUCGUCAAGGUUUGGGAGAAACAAUCUCUUCCUCUGCCCGGGUUGCGUGGAUCUCCAGUGGAAAGGCUUUAUCUACCAAGAAAUGAAUUGGAUAAUCCACAUAAACAAAAAGCUUGGAAAAUUUAUCCACCAGAAUUUGCCGUGGAGAUACUUUUUGGUAUGGUUUCUGUGGAUUCUCUGCUCUUUGUGCUCUCCUCCCCACAUUGGUGGCUCCAUCUGGCACAGGGAAGCUUCUGGAUGUCAGAAGGUGGAUUCUCACUCUGUCACCCAGGCUGGAGUGUAGUGGCACAAUCUUUGCUCACUUCAACCUCUGCCUUCUGCGUUCGAGCAAUUCUCCUGCCUCAGCCUCCCGAGUAACUGGGAUUACAGGGACAGUAAGUGGUGUUUCCUGGGAGAUGCUACGGUGUUAUUUUUGCACUACAAGGGCUCUGAAGACUGCCAGGCUUGAAGUGAAGAACCACGUCACCUGCCUAUCCCAGCCAGGUGACAGUGGACAAGGGGCUUCACCUCUGAGCUGUUUUCCAGCUGUACUGGGCACAUUCCUCCUCUCACC
rnacentral:lncRNA from 1 species